UCUACUGCAGCCUAAAGCAGAAACAGCCAUAAGCUAAUGAAGCUCAUAAGAUAAUUGUUUACUCCUUUGUCAUAUCAUAUUCUCAUAUAUAUAUAUAUAAUGAUCAUCUUCAUCA